rnacentral:rRNA from 1 species
AGCGAACGCUGGCGGUAGGCUUAACACAUGCAAGUCGAACGGCAGCACAGUACGAGCUUGCUCUUACGGGUGGCGAGUGGCGGACGGGUGAGGUAUAUAUCGGAACCUACUUUUUCGUGGGGGAUAACGUAGGGAAACCUACGAUCAUAUAGCAUAUGCUCUACGGGUGAAAGCAGGGGAUCUUCGGACCUUGCGCGAUUGAAUGAGCCGAUGUCGGAUUAGCUAGUUGGCGGGGUAAAGGCCCACGAGGGCGCCGAUCGGUAGCUGGUCUGAGUGGACGAUCGGCCGCACUAGAACUGGGACACGGACCAGGCUCCUGCGAUAGGCAGCAGUGUGGUAUAUUGGACAGUGGGCGCGAGUCUUGUCCAACCAGACCGCGUGGGAGGAGGAGGCGUUCGGGUUGUGAUGCCCUUUUGUUGGUAGAGAAAAGCAGCAGGUUAAUACCCCGCUGUUCUGACGGUACCCAAAAAAUAAGCACCGGCUAACUUCGUG